rnacentral:rRNA from 1 species
GACAGAGGUGCCAAGCGUUAGGCGGAAUCACUGGGCUUAAAGCGUGUGUAGGCGGACCGUUAAGUACCUUGUGAAAUCCCCCGGCUCAACCGGGGAACUGCUGGGUAUACUGGCGGUCUUGGGCCACUCAGGGGCAGAUGGAACAGACGGUGGAGCGGUGAAAUGCGUAGAUAUCCGGAGGAACACCUGUGGUGUAGACAGCUUACUGGACCAUUUCUGACGCUGAGACACGAAAGCGUGGGUAGCAAACAGG